rnacentral:lncRNA from 1 species
UGGAAAGCUAAUCAGAAAGGGAUUACCCCUAUUUGCACGUGAAUGAGAAGAAAAGGGGAUGGAAUCCCUAAAUCAAACUAUUUCUUCUACUUUCUUCUCCUCUAACUCCGGCAGCGUUAAGGAGCACCGUUCAUGGCUAGAACUGAGUUGGCCACGCUGACAUACCGACGAUGAAGCUCCAAGGCCACCCCCUUCUCCUCUAUGGUAGUCCACAACCGAAAGUGAGACGUUCCUGUUUCACAAUGGCCCUGGUUCACGACGGCGGGUUCACGAUAGCGGAGGAUGGCAGUGGUGAACGAGGGUCCCCAUACGGUACGGUCUCUAAGCCCUCUUCCUCUUUCCUUCUUCGACGGUGCUGAUUAGUCGAUGGUGGUGGGGAUCGACGAAGAGAAUCCCUUUCUCUUCGAGAUGCAUCGAACGAAAUCUCCCUCUUUUCUUAUUUGAUUGAUUUCAGUUACUGUUUGUUUUUUUUAUUGAUGGAUUAAGAGAGAACGAAGACGAUAUUGUGGGGUGGCUUGCGGUUAGGCUCCUAUUCUCACGGUGGUCAUUAGAGUAAGGUAAUGACUCAACUACUCUUACUUUCAAAAAAGGAUGGGACUGAUUAGGGUGAUAUUGACUUACCCAUAUGUCUAUCCUGAGUAUAUGCUUUUCGUUGUUGUACGAUGAGGAUGUCUCUGCCUUCUUGGUUUAUGGCGUCUGUGAUGUAUAACUCUAUAUUCGGAUUGCCUUUUGUCUAGAUAUGGGUAUAAUGAUUGCUCCCUGGAACUGGUAUGAUAUUGAAUCUGCUUGAAUGUUACUCUCUCUGUUUAUAUUUCUGCCUUUCUCUCUAGAAUGCUCUCUGUUUUUCACUUGCUAUCAUGUUUUUCUGAGUGUAUGUAUGUGAUCCCCCCUUUCUAGUGAUAGUUGUACGCCUUUUAUAGCUGUGUGUUUUUGUUGUACUGCCCUUUUGUUUUCUGGUUAUCCAUUCUGAAACUGCUAAUUCGGGUGAUAUUGACUUACCCCUAUGUCUAUCCUGAGUAUAUGCUUUUCGUUGUUGUACGAUGAGGAUGUCUCUGCCUUCUUGGUUUAUGGCGUCUGUGAUGUAUAACUCUAUAUUCGGAUUGCCUUUUGUCUAGAUAUGGGUAUAAUGAUUGCUCCCUGGAACUGGUAUGAUAUUGAAUCUGCUUGAAUGUUACUCUCUCUGUUUAUAUUUCUGCCUUUCUCUCUAGAAUGCUCUCUGUUUUUCACUUGCUAUCAUAUUUUUCUGAGUGUAUGUAUGUGAUCUCCCCUUUCUAGUGAUAGCUGUACGCCUUUUAUAGCUGUGUGUUUAUGUUGUACUGCCCUUUUGUUUUCUGGUUAUCCAUUCUGAAACUGCUCAAUAAUUAUUCCCAUUCAUGCUGAUUAUGAUUAUAUGUAACUGCUGAGAUAUUUCUGAAUUCUCACCUAAGAGAUAGGAACAUAUACCCUGACUCUUGCUUUUUUUUCUGAUUAUUCCUUUCAGUUUUGAAUAAUGCUCAAUGAUUACUAAUAAUCAUUUUACCACUAAUUGCUCCAUUUAAUACGACCAUGAUUGCUGCCUAACCCUGCUGUUUUGGAAUCCUUUUCUGAAUAUUUGCCUUUUAUGCUUACUGGAAUACG